GUGAGGAAUAUUGGUCAAUGGGCGCAAGCCUGAACCAGCCAUCCCGCGUGAAGGAAGAAGGCCCUACGGGUUGUAAACUUCUUUUCCAGGGGAAGAAUAUCCUGCACGCGUGCGGGACUGACGGUACCCUGGGAAUAAGCAUCGGCUAACUCCGUGCCAGCAGCCGCGGUAAUACGGAGGAUGCGAGCGUUAUCCGGAUUUAUUGGGUUUAAAGGGUGCGUAGGCGGAUCAAUAAGUCAGUGGUGAAACCCUGCAGCUUAACUGUAGACUUGCCAUUGAUACUGUUGAACUCGAGUAUGGUCAAGGCAGGCGGAAUGUGUAAUGUAGCGGUGAAAUGCUUAGAUAUUACACAGAACACCGAUCGCGAAGGCAGCUUGCUGGUCCAUUACUGACGCUGAUGCACGAAAGCGUGGGGAUCGAACAGGAUUAGAUACCCCAGUAGUCC
rnacentral:rRNA from 1 species